UCUCCGUAGGUGAACCUGCGGAGGGAUCAUUACUGAGUGAGGGCUCACGCCCGACCUCCAACCCUUUGUGAACGUAACUUGUUGCUUCGGGGGCGACCCUACCAGGCGCCCCCGGAGGUCAUUCAACUCUGCAUCUCUGCGUCGGAGUCAAAGUUAAUUAAACAAAACUUUCAACAACGGAUCUCUUGGUUCUGGCAUCGAUGAAGAACGCAGC
rnacentral:misc_RNA from 1 species